GACAGAGGUGCCGAGCGUUAGGCGGAAUCACUGGGCUUAAAGCGUGUGUAGGCGGGUCGUUAAGUGUCUUGUGAAAUCCCUACCGCUCAACGGUGGAACUGCUGGGCAUACUGGCGAUCUUGAGCCACCUAGGGGCAGACGGAACAAGCGGUGGAGCGGUGAAAUGCGUAGAUAUCGCUUGGAACGCCGACGGUGAAAACAGUCUGCUGGGGGUGUGCUGACGCUGGAGACACGAAAGCCAGGGGAGCGAACGGG
rnacentral:rRNA from 1 species